rnacentral:lncRNA from 1 species
GGUUGAGUUUCAGAAGGUUGGUCUUCAGAAGGGAUGUUGGUUGUUUGUUCUGGGGGAGGUGAAGUUACUUCAGAUUGUGUUGGUUGUUGUGAAGCGAGGUUUUGAGCCUGAAUUUGGGCUAGGGUUGGAGAGUUAGGGUCAGAGUAUUCUGGGUCAGAGGAGAGGUCAAGGUAUGGAGGUGAUUCUGGGGCUGAAGAUGAUGAAGAGGAAGUGGUAGUGUGAGCAAGAUUAAAAUUGGGUAGAGGUUGUGAGGUUCUGGUUGUAGAAGGU